ACUGAUUUCAGUUUCACAUUCCUUUAUUACCCUGGGGAAAAGUUCAUCUGGCCCUGGCGCCUUGGUGACUUUAAGUCUUUCUAUCUGUCUAAUCACGAGCUCCCUACUCAUGUAGAUGUCGGUUAAUCCUUCUACCUCUUCUCCCCUGUAGAUCUGUUCUCCCUGAGGUAUAUCAUCUAAUCUUUCUUUGGUAAAUACAGUUAAGAAAUACCUAUUUAACGCCUCGCUCAUUUCCUCAUCUCUAUCAAUCAGUGUUUCUCCUGACUUAAGCGGCCCUAUCUUAUCCCUAACCUUGGUCUUAUAAAGCUGAAAGAAGCCCUUUGGAUUGGUCUUUGCUUCCCUGGCAUUUCUAAUCUCAUAAUUAUGUUUUGCCAUACCCGUGUUCUUUUUCACUGUUUUAGCUAAAUCGUUGUGACUAUCCAUUAGGUGAGUUUCCCCCUUUUGAUCCUAACCUAUAGUUACUAGACUAUAUAGAUAACUAGACUCCUGCUUCGUCCCUCCACACUAAGCCAUAUAGUUUUUAACACUUAAUGAAUAGUUAUAGAGUUGUUUAUGUUACUCUGUUGCCUUUGAAGUUAAUAAAUAGUGAAUAAUUGUUGAUGAGGAGGUAAAUAUUGUUAGGCCCGCCGCCUGCCCCAGUGUUCUUCCCGCGGCCAUGUUAAGGUUCCUCGCGCAGUGCUGGGAGAAAAGGCACAAAUGUCUGAAUAAGUGAAGAUAAUUGUGACUUUAUUUCAGGUUAGAAAAUUACCUAACACUGAAAAGGAAGGUGUGUGAAUAAGAAGAAGGGAGGAACGAGAGGAGGAGGACCUGACUCAAAGCGUUACAGGUCAAAAGAAGAUGAUGAACCACCCCCUCCGCACCAUGGCCAGCACCGCACCAACUCCUGCCCACACACAGCCAUGGGUGAGGGAACGUCCCGCCCCUCACUGCCCCAUCAAGCACCUGCUGUCCUGCCCCCCACGCCACCUGCUCCCACGACACCUCCGUGCCCUGGCCGUGCUGCCCACCCUGACCUGCCCACAGUGCUGGCGGCGGCAGGCAUGCACCCUCACGGCAGGAAGCUGUCACCCGCCUCACCUGCGCCUUCCUCAGGAGGACGGGGCAGCCUGUGAGGCCCACAUGCCGGGGCUUCGUGGUGCAGUGGUUAGCACACUCGGCUCACAAUCGAGAGAGCCCGGGUUCGAUUCCUGGGCGGAACGGAAAAAUUUGGGCGGCUUCUCCGAUACCCUACGCCCCUGUCCACCCAGCAGUGAAUGGAUACCAGACCUGGCGGCUGUGGGAGUCAAGUUGUUGGUGGUGCCCAGGCUGGAACACUCCCCGCCCAGGGCUACGACAACCUGAGAAGGCACAGCAAGACUCUGCCCCUGGCUUAUAAGGGACCAUUAAGAAACAUGAUGCCUGCUGCUGCCACCACCACCGGGUUAACAUGUGCUGGCGACGAUCUGUUCACACGUCACUUGCCGCAGCGUUGAGGCGGGAUGCAGCGUGCUCUGAGGCGACCCCGGGCAGGAGGCAACAUGUGACCUCCUGCGCCAAACCUUUGACCUCUAUUCAGGAGCAGACUUGUCUCAGUCUCAUCUCGUCUCCUCAGCAUCCAGGGAGCAUCUUGAAGGCCUGACUGGUCUCCUCGGCUCAGUGGUCUCGUCUCUGUCUCCUUCCCUGCAAGAGUCUGGCAGAGUUUAGUGCCAAGAGUGUGUGUGUGUGUGUG